rnacentral:rRNA from 1 species
UACGGGGGGGGGCAAGCGUUGUUCGGAAUUACUGGGCGUAAAGGGUUCGUAGGUGGCCAACUAAGCCCAGACGUGAAAUCCCCUCAGCUUAACUGGGGAACUGCGUCUGGGACUGGAUGGCUUGAGUGCAGGAGAGGAACGCGGAAUUCCAGGUGUAGCGGUGAAAUGCGUAGAUAUCUGGAGGAACACCGGUGGCGAAGGCGGCGUUCUGGACUGCAACUGACACUGAGGAACGAAAGCCAGGGGGAGCAAACGGG